AUGCUGCUGCUCCCGGUCCUGGCCCUGGCUUCAGCCUGGUCUCGUGGAGACGCACAAGCAAUCCCGGUACAAACGCCAGAGUUGGUGACGAGGAUGGAGCGCAGCUCAGCCAGUAUAGAAUGCAGCAUGAGCAGUGAAGACAUUGUUCACUGGUACCACCAGCGUGCUGGACAGCCACCGAAGAGGAUUCUGUAUGUGUCAGGACAGUCACCUACGUUUGAUGACAGUUCCAGUAGCCGGAAGUAUAACGUUCAGAAAGAUUCUAGCGAGCCCCGAUAUACUCUCAUAAUAGCUUAUUUAACCCCAAAGGAUUCUGGCCUUUAUUACUGUGCCUAUUGGCCUUAUCGAGCUCCACAGCAUCAGAAGGAUGGAGCUGCACAAGGCCUCAGGCAGCCAAAACCUUCCACGAGCAACAGAGUGCAACCAACGGCACAAAUCGACUGCUCUUUUUCUGGCUUGCACUUCCGGAGAACUCGCAUCCACUGGUACCAACAGAAAGCCGGCGAAGCUCCAAAGCACAUUUUGUACGUGGUAGCAGGAGAACCUGUUUUCCGUGAACAGACUGAUGAAGAAAUGUUUUGGGUAGAGAAGAAGGUGUCGGAUCUCAUCUGUGCUCGGACAAUAAAGCGAGCAACAAGGCAGCAGGAGGCAACCUACUAUUGUGCUUACUGGGGCUAUACAACCACAGAAAACCACUAA